rnacentral:rRNA from 1 species
CCUACGGGAGGCAGCAGUGGGGGAUAUUGCACAAUGGGGGGAACCCUGAUGCAGCGACGCCGCGUGGGUGAAGGAGCGUUUCGGCGCGUAAAGCCCUAUCGGCAGGGAAGAAGAUGACGGUACCUGACCAAGAAGCCACUGCCAACUACGUGCCAGCAGCCGCGGUAUUACGUAGGGGGCGAGCGUUAUCCGGAUGUACUGGGGGUAAAGGGGGCGCAGACGGCAAUGCAAGCCAGGAGUGAAAGCCCGGGGCCCAACCCCGGGACUGCUCAUGGAACUGGAGGGCUGGAGUACAGGAGGGGCAGGCGGAAUUCCUGGUGUAGCGGUGAAAUGCGUAGAUAUUAGGAGGAACACCGGUGGCGAAGGCGGCCUGCUGGACUGUGACUGACGUUGAGGCCCGAAGGCGUGGGAAGCAAACAGGAUUAGAUACCCGUGUAGUC